GGGUGUAUAGCUCAGUGGUAGAGCAUUCGAUUGUAGAUCGAGAGGUCUUCGGCUUAAAACUCGGGUGUCCCCU